rnacentral:ncRNA from 2 species
UUUUCUGACGGCAUUCAAGGUGCCGCCCGGACGUCGUCAAGGUGGAUAAUUGGGAAGCCGGUCUGAGGCCGGCGCUGCCCCCGCAACGGUAGCGGAACGAAAACCUCGACGAUUGCCACUGGCUACGGCCGGGAAGGUGUCGAGGGCGUCCUGAAGGACGGUUCCGAAGCCCGGAAACCAGCCUUAAAUCCAAGACUCGG